rnacentral:misc_RNA from 1 species
CACCGACAGCGCCUUCAGUCUUCGCCUCCUGUGCGUGUGUGCCUCUCCUCUCUCUGUGGAGCGCAUCUUCGUCUCGUUUUCGUGCGCCUGCGCAUCUCCUCCGUUUCGGCCCAUUACGCACCGACUGGAACCACGCCGGAAAGGCCAACGGCAAGGGAUGCGAAGACGAUAGAGGCUGUCCCGCGGAACCACAGGUAAAGCAAAGAGCGAAGCGAACUCGUCACGGCUAACAGAGAUAUCAUCGUUCAGAACAGCCACACACACACACACACACACACACACACACACACACUUACAGUUUCCCCUCCCCCCGCAUCUCGCCUCCCGCCUCCCGCCUUCUGCUGCUCUGUCUUUCUCUCUGUCCCUUUCUGGAUGCCUUGUUCGCUUCCGCCUGCCCCUCCCCCUCCCCCAUUCCUUCGCUCGCUUCGGCCUUUGCGUGCCUCUGAUCCUCGUGCGUCUUCCUCCCCGCCUCCUCUCUUGCCUUCCUGUUUUCCCUCGCUUGCGUACACACGCACACACGCACAGACAUAGCAUGACGUCUUGCGCAGCACUGCUCUUCCACAACUUUGUGUGGGAGCCGUGCGGCCUGUCCAUGAAGGGACACACAAACACCCCGUCUGUGCAGGUUGCGAGUGGCGUCAACCCUGGCGCGGAUGUUGGCGCACAGCUGGGCCCCCGCGCGUAUGUGCAGCGGCUGAACCGCACGAUCCGGCGCCACCUCGUUGCGCGUGAUCGCUUCAAUGCCGACCAUCACGACAUUUGCAUGUACAUUGAGCGCUCAAAGAAUGAGAACAUUGUUGUCUAUCGGGCGAACUUGAUUGACUCGAAGACGGGUGAGCCCGUUGAGAGCGGCGCCCACCAGUCCGACUGCAGCUUCAAGACCUCGGAUCCGCUGCACGCGUACUGGAUCAAAAUCAACCCCGAGCACGUGGCUCGUCGCCGCGCUCGUGGUGAGCUGGAAGAUACUUGCGAGCUCAACAUGAUUGAGCGGAAGCUUGCGUACGGGUGCAAGGCUGUCGUGAUCAGCAAGGAUAGAUUUUUCAGCGAGGUGCUGCCCGACAAGGCGUCCCGCACUGCUGCGUCAAAGAAGAAGAUGGAGGCAAUCGAACUUCUGUUCGAGGAGGUGCAGCCGUGCGUGUGCAACUUUGCAGCUCUCUCUUCGUGGCCGGUCUGGAUGCUGCGGUUGCCUCCGCUGGUGGAGGGCAAGGACACGGCGGCCAGCGUGGCGCUCAACACAGACAGCGAGGCUUCUCCGUCUCCGCACGGUGGGGGCGCGCAGUUGCUGACGGCGGAUGGUGAGACUGAGGAGCAUGCACUGCCGACGAGAAACACGGUCGUGGCGAUGGUGACGAUGAUCGCCGGGAAGCUCAGUGUUCUGCAGAAAGUGUACGUGAAGAGCAUCGAGCCAAAGCACUUUUAUCAGCUGCCGAAGGUGGAGCACAUCGAGGUGCACGGUACGUCGCUCGCGACGGGUGAGUCCACCUACGAGAAGCUCACGAGAUGAACUGUGUCACGUCCACCAGCCGGUGCAAGGAGAAAGGGGGCACUGCGACGCAUGUCCUUGCACAUGCGUAUAAGAGAGCACGAGCGCAACCAUUCAUCGACCUCCCUUCUCUCCGUCCCGUCCUCCCUCUCUGCGCGCUUCUCUUUGUUCGUUGAAUUCUGACAUGACUCGUGCUCUCAACAGCACCGGCCCCCCUCCUCCCAACAACAAAAAUCGAAAAGCAGCAGGGAGGUGCGUUGUGUGUGUGUGUGCGCGUGCGUGCCUGUCGCAUCCUGCGAUGGCGGGAGGGGUGCGAGUAUUGCCCCGCCGACAUUCAUGAGCGACGCAUCAACGCUCCUCGCUCCCUUCGGCUGCAGCACCACACGAUACACGUCCACCUAUCAAGCUCGGUGAGAGUGGGAGAGAGAGUGGAGGU